CGGGCGGGCGGGCGGGCGGCCGCUCGUGCCUCCCGCCCCCGAGGAGACGCGGCGCGCGCGCGCGCGCGCCCUCAACACCCUCUCUCCCCCCGCCGCCGCCGCCGCCGCCCGCCGGAGCACGUGCCAGAGCGCGCCCCCGCCAUGGGAAAACCCCGCCCCCGCCGCCGCGGGAAAAAAAAAGGCGGGGGGGGUGUGGUGCUGAGAGCCUCCGUUGAGCUGCAGCGAUAGAAUAGACCAGCUGAUUGAGACAGAUGUUCUCUUCUUUAGCAAGUGCCAACACUUUGCCCAAACACAUAUUUGCUGACUUACCCUUAACUGGAAAACAUCUUGAAAAGGCGGCGGAGAUAAAAAGGAAGGGAACGAAGCCGCGUUGUGUCCAGAUUUAACACAGCCCAGUGCUCCAUUCUCUAAAACCAGUCCUGGUUGAAGAGGUCCCUUUCACUGGAUCCUGUUCAUUUGUUGACGGAUAAUAGGGGCUGAGUUGCGGCAAUCCGUGUGCAGAAAGCAGAAAAUAGAGUCAAUUACAUCUGUAUUAGAUGGCCUUGGGGAGAAAAUCUCCUUACAUGCCUUCCACUGAUACUGUUCUUAAUUAUAUUGGCUAAGGAGCUACCUAUGUUAAAUCCAAGCACAACUCGAGCUGCUCUAAAUAUAGAACCUAAAAUAUCUCCUGAGAAGGUAAUGGCGGUGAUGUAACUUUCCAGCAGCACUCUAAAUUAGGCUUUUUAAUUUGCCCACAAUAAACUUCUCAAAAUGAGACGGUGCGAUGAUGCCAUCACCCCCUUUCUGUGCCUUAGGGGCUCCUGACCCUGCUCAGCCCUUUUCCUCCUUGGAGGGGAUGCUGAAGGCGGGAUGCGGCACCGUGCCGGUCCCCGGCCCGGGGGAUGCUCCGGGGAUGCUCACCGGGUCCUGCCCAGCCCCGGCUGUGGCUGCCCCUGCGUGGAGCCAAGCACAGCGUGGGCAGGGGCGCAGCACCCACACCCGGUGGGGUGACUCAGAGCGGCUCCACCAUGUCCUGCCUCAGGUUCAGAGCAGAGACGUGAAAAUCUGCCCUUUUGCUGGUUCUCUUCACCCCCACCUGGGGAGAAAUGAGUGGCUGAAUGCUGCAGGAUGGGGUCUGCAUUGCUUCUCCCUGCCCUGGCUGGGGCUACGUGGCCACCAGUAGCCCCACUGGGCAGGCUGGGCUGGAGGGGUGCUGGGGUGUCCCAAAGCUUUCGCCCUCUCCUAGGGCAAGUCAGUUGUCCUGUUGCUCUGCUCCUCCAGUCCUCGGUUGGGUGCUGCUGUCUCCCAGAGUUUGGAAGAGCACAGGCAUUAACUGGGAGUGCGGGCAAUGAUACACGGACACUUCCUACGGGACCUAGGAGCAUAAAUGAUCCACAGUAUGGCCCUUUUCUUCUCAAGUUUUUAUGUAGAGUAGGUAAACUCCAUAGGCCUGUGCCAUCCAAACAACCAGGACAAGUAUCUGCGAUAUUUCACAGCCCCUUUCAUUUUGGUUUCCCUUAAUCUUAUUAAGUGUCUGUUCCCAUACCUGGGGGAAAAAAAAAAAAAAAAAAAAAAAAAAAAAAAGCCAUCAAUUAUAUUUGCUUUGCCUUUGAAAAGAUUUGUCAUUUUGCCAUCUGUAGGCAAGCAUGCUCUGCAACAAUAGGUUUUGUUUGACUUCUCUAGUAAAAAGGUCCCUAGUUUUUUUCUUGGCCCCAUCCACAGCUUGCUUUCCCCCCGCCUCAUUCUUUUCAGCGAGCCUGUUGAUGAGCUUGGCCUAAUCAGAUUAACUCAACCCAGACACAGCAGUGGCAGUUUAUUCUCUUUUAAAAGGACUCCACGGUUUCCUACAAACUUUUUGUAAACUCUUCAUCUCCGGCUAAACUCUUUUGUAAGCUGUAUCCAAUGGACUCUUUGAGAGACCCACACUCGCCGUCAAUGAAGACCUGUUAGAAUGGGUCACUAAUCCAAAAGAGUGGAGAAAUGCCUUUAAAGCCGUGCACUGAUGCAUUGGGAGCCCUGACUAGCACCCGCAGAAAGAGAGGAUUGAAUUCCCAAAUAGCUGGAACAUUUAAUUUGAUUCCUAAAAUAAAUAUUUUGAAAAAGUCCAUCUUGUUUACAACUCUAAUGAAAUAAGCUAUUUUCCUCUGAAGUUCUCUGGGUGCUGGGACACGCUUUGGUGUCUGCUCUUUACCCAGCCCACCCUUCCCCUCAAACAAACCCACAAGGAGCUCAGAAGAAGACAGAAAACAAAGCAACAGCUUCUUGACCGGUUUUUACAGUUCUGGGUGUUCACGCCGCUUUGCUGCUGGCAGGCGCCAGGAAAAAAUCCGUUUGGGACUUUUUAACGUGCCACCAUUCCUGAGCUGGAUGGGAGGCUCCUCGCUGCUCUUCCCCCUUCACUUUGGGAUUUGGAUUCCAGCCCUCUGGAACCACGAGGAGAGGUUGCUCCGUUGCCAGGGGGAGGAUGGAGUGACUUGGAUGUGUGUGUAACGCCCAGCUACACGCGGGUGCAACCCGGAGCCCCCCAAGCUGGGCGGCAGAGCUGCUGCUCCCUGCUCCCUCCGGCAUUCCCGCUCCCGAGCUCGGGAGCCAGCAUGGAGCUGCCGGACAUGAUUGGAAGAUUUCUGAUGCGCGGCGGCCGGGAAAAAGGAUUUCUGGGAUGCUUCCUUUCUUUUUUAGCUGGAGAUGAACGUAGCUGCAAAGGCUGGGCUGGAUACACGUGGCACAAAGAUGCCAUUUCCCCCGGGGAGGCUGGGUGUGGGAGCAGGCUUGGCUACGGCCACGCAGCCAGCCCCAACGCAGCACCACAGCACCAGCAGCAGUGCAGUUUCUGCAGCUCCAGCCCUGAUGCAAUUUCUGCAGCACCAGCCCUGAUGCAGCGCUGCAGCCAGCCCCGAUGAAUCCAGGAAGAAGAGGGAGCCCAAACUCUCCUCCCAGCCCCCCAUGUCACGAGGAGGAUGCACUUGUGCUCAUGCUUGUAAAAAAAAAAAAAAAAGCCAUCUAGGCCCAUGUUUCAACAUCCAGAGAUCCUCUUCGUAGCAUCACACCGGACCUUUUCCUUCGGAGAUUUUCACUCCUGUAGUUGUUGUGAGCUUGUGAUUGGCAUGGCUGAACAACUUCAUUGUGGAGAGGAUUUCAUGGCAUUCAGUGGAAGUUUCCACUUCUUUAGAGUCGCACAGAGAAGAUUAACGUUGUGACUUCAUCCCCCUGCCAUUGUCAGUGUGACUUAGAGUCAUUUCACGUCUUUGAUAAAACCUACCCCAGUUAAAAAUAAGCAAAGAAGAUCCCACAAUGCACACAAUGAGCAGAACAACUCCCUGAAAAAUACCCUAUUGUCUUCCAGGAAGAAGAUGGUAAUUUUUCAUGGUAUCAGCUUUAUAUUAAAAAUUACAUUGAAUGGCAAAAAGAGUUGUCUUAAUUGGGUGGGACAGACAGCACACCCUGUCUGGCACCCCUCCUACUCCCUGCAAAAUAGUAAUAUAGUCCCUCGCUAGCUCAUGGUCUUAGGACACGUUGGCUCCCCUAAGCAUCGCAGAGAGAAUGUUCUAUCUCCAGACAUUUCUCAGGUAGAUUUGGAGUUGAAUGCUCCAAACUUCCUCUGAACAGACAAAAUAUUAACUUUUGUUCUGUUCUCCGCCUGCUAUUCCUACUAAAGGCAUUAUGGCUGGAUUAAAACCUGUUUGAAAAUAAGAUGAGAAAAAUGAGCCUAGGAUUUGUAUUUUGAAGGAAGUAGAACACAAAUGAAUCAUUCUUAAGCCUACAGUUAACCUAACCGGUUGCUCUAAGGAACAGCACAAGGGAGGAAGGCAAAUGGAGAAAUCCAGAGACAAGUAGCCAAGAUCUUUGUAAAAUUAAGGUGAGAGACCCUAAGAAACCGCCGACGGAGUGGUGAUGUGCUUGGAGCAGGGCUAACCUGCCUCCGCACACCGACUCGUUUGUCAAUAGAACCCCAUUCUGUAAAUGACCCCCCCCAGUUCCCAGCCGGUCCUCUCCAUCCAUCUGGGACUGCCCACCCACGUUCUCUGCCCGUCCCUCAACCACGUCCCCGCCAAACAGCUUCGUCACAGCUCCAGCUGGAUCAUCGGGAAGGAAGCUCCCAAGUCUGCAGCCCUCGAGGUUGACAGGGCUGUGGUGGCCGCCUGGCCUGUUCGCGGUGCUCGCCCUUUUAUCGCCCAACAUUAAUGGUUUAUGGCAACUGGGAGCGAGCGAUGAAAGGGAAACUGCUCUGGCUGCGGAGGGCCUUUGAAUAACCCUCUUCGUUUCCCAGGAUGGAUAACAAAACCAGCUCCUCCGGAGAAUGCCAAGGCCAUUUGGCCGCCUCGAAGGGAUGCUUGGAGAGCUCCACUUGCCAAGUGUCCCAGUGGCCACGGCAGGGCUGACCAGUAAGCCCAGAGGUUCUCUGGGCUGCCCUGGUCGUGGCCUCGGGGCACGCAGCGGGUCUCACCCUUGCCAAAGUCCCCACCACUAAUCCAAAGCCUUGUUCUUACCCCCAGGUUUGAACAACAGGAAAGCUUUUGUUUAAAAAAGGGAAAGAAAGGGAAGUUGGGGCCCGUCUGGCUUGGGAGAGUCAGGUUGUGUGCUUGCCUGAUUAUGUGCUAAUUGGGAUUUUAGCAGAGAUUGUCCUGUCACGUGCAGGUGGCCAGUGACAACGUGCCUGUGACUGAAGAGCAAGUCUUGACAUAAGGAGAGUCCGGGAGCUCGCUGGGAGCCAGCUCUUCCUGUCUGAUCUUCUGCGUGCCCGUCUGGCGCUCCAUGAAUAAUUAAUAAAUUAAUGAUACACCUCA